ensembl:lncRNA G protein-coupled receptor kinase 5
GGGAGGGGAGGAAGGAGAAGGAAGCAGAGAGCAGCUCUUCAGAUUUUCAUGCUUCUCUUCUUCUCUUUAUUGCCUCUAGAGAGAGAUUACUGCAGUAUAUGCGAAAAGCAGCCGAUCGGAAGGCUUCUCUUUCGGCAGUUCUGUGAAACUCGACCCGAGCUUGAGUGCUGCAUUAGGUUUCUUGACUCAGUGGUAAAUGUCAGUCCAGAUCUUAUCCAACAGACAGAGGAAAAACUCGAAAUCAGCCCCUGCAAAGAGCUAUUCGCUCACUGUACAAAAUCUGUCCUUGACCACCUCAGCGGGGAACCAUUCCAAGAAUACCUAAACAGCAUGUACUUCGACAGGUUUCUGCAGUGGAAGUGGUUGGAAAGGCAACCAGUAACGAAAAACACAUUUAGGCAGUACAGGGUACUGGGGAAAGGUGGCUUUGGGGAGGUCUGCGCUUGCCAAGUCCGAGCAACAGGGAAGAUGUAUGCCUGCAAAAGAUUAGAGAAGAAGAGAAUAAAAAAGAGGAAAGGCGAAUCCAUGGCACUAAAUGAAAAGCAGAUUUUAGAAAAAGUCAAUAGUCAGUUUGUAGUCAAUUUAGCCUAUGCCUACGAAACAAAGGAUGCACUGUGUUUAGUUCUGACCAUAAUGAAUGGGGGUGACUUGAAGUUUCAUAUCUACAAUAUGGGAAACCCAGGCUUUGAGGAAGAACGAGCUUUGUUUUAUGCGGCAGAGAUUCUUUGUGGCUUAGAAGACCUACACAGAGAAAAUACUGUAUACAGAGAUUUGAAGCCAGAAAAUAUCCUACUAGAUGAUUAUGGUCAUAUUAGAAUAUCUGAUUUGGGUCUAGCUGUUAAAAUUCCUGAGGGUGAAUCAAUCCGUGGAAGGGUAGGAACAGUAGGGUAUAUGGCCCCAGAAGUGUUGAACAACCAGAGAUACACGCUCAGCCCUGACUACUGGGGGCUAGGCUGUCUCAUUUAUGAAAUGAUUGCUGGGCAAUCACCAUUUCGUGGAAGGAAAGAGAAAGUGAAGAGGGAAGAAGUGGACAGGAGAGUGCUGGAGACGGAAGAAGUGUACUCCCAUAAGUUUUCUGAGGAGGCCAAGUCCAUCUGUAAAAUGCUCCUCACCAAAGAUUUGAAGCAGCGACUGGGAUGUCAAGGGGAAGGUGCAGCAGAAGUGAAGAGACACCCCUUUUUCAAGAGCAUGAAUUUCAAGCGGUUAGAAGCAGGAAUGCUGGAUCCUCCCUUUGUCCCUGAUCCCAGAGCAGUAUAUUGCAAGGAUGUGUUAGACAUCGAGCAGUUCUCCACAGUGAAAGGAGUAAACCUGGACCAAACAGAUGAUGAUUUCUAUUCCAAGUUUUCCACAGGAUCAGUCUCUAUUCCAUGGCAAAAUGAGAUGAUAGAAACAGAGUGUUUCAAAGAACUAAAUGUGUUUGGACCAAAUGGUACUAUUUCACCAGACCUAAAUAAAAGCUACCCCCCAGAGCCACCCAAGAAAGGAUUGCUACAGAGAAUAUUUAAACGACAGGUGAGAUCUUUUAUGACUAACACAAGGACCUCCCAUAGUACAGAUGCCCAGUGUCACAGCCAUGUUCUGGUGGUAUUUCUGCUAGGAGAUAGGCACAAUGUCUUAGAGAGAGCUGGCUGUCACAGUUUCCUGGUAAUUUCCUGA